rnacentral:lncRNA from 1 species
UAAUAUUCCACACUUAAAACCCUAAAAAUCUCCUAACCGGCGGUGGCGCCGCCGGCAGCGGCGGCCGGAGGCCAAUUCCGGCGACCUCCAAAACCUAUGAAAUUUUGACAGAAUAAUCCUCUCAUCAAGCUCUACAACUUUCAUAACUAGCACAAACACCAAUUCCAAGCCUAACUAGGGCAAUCGACUAAAAACAUCAAAAACGCCAUAAAACUUCCACCUCAAAUUUCUCCUUACCUAGCUCAAGAGGGAGUGAGUCCUUUUAGGGCAAGGCUGCUGGGUUGGAGGGCUACAAAACCAUACCAAGCUUGCCCGGAUUGGUGGCCGGAGGAGGGAGUUCCGGCGACGUGAACCCUAACACAGUCGGACCUCUCGGGCCAGAUAUCACCCUCACGGCGGCGUUAGGGAAGCUGUCACCGGUCCAAGAAGGUUGCUGGGUUGAAGACCGAUCGAUUGGGACCGGUGCGGCGGUCUGGGGCGGCCGGACGGCGGCGGUCUGGCGGUCAGAAAACCGGACAGCGGGAGGGGCUCGGGAGAGAGAGAACCGGGAGGAGAAAAGAGAGGAAAAAGAGAAAAGAAAAGAUGGGCCUCUACACCCGGUCCAACAACCUUAUAUACCAAAACCCACUCUAAAAUUUACACCCCAAAAAUAAUACCCCAAUAAAAAUUACCUUUUACUAGCAAAAAUUUACCAUUUUUACCGUCGUCAUAUUUUCUCCCACGAAUAAUCCUCAGCACUAAAAUCGACCCUGAAACUCCUCUAGGGACCAAUUAAGCUAUUAACUCAAUGAUCGAGACGGUAAAAUUCUUAUUAUAAUCAAGCUAGUAAAUAAGGUAAAAAUAUAAGGGUCGGGAUGUGACAAUUCUCCUCUCCUUAUAAAAAUUUCGUCCUCGAAAUUUACGUACCUGUCAUCCGAAGAGAUAGGGAUACUGCUGCAUCAUUUGCUCCUCUGAUUCCCAAGUAGCUUCUUCUACUUGAUGACUCCUCCAAAGUACCUUGACAAGCGGGAUUGUCUUGUUCCUAAGCACUUGCUCCUUUCGGUCGAGAAUCUGAACCGGUUCCUCUUCAUAGGACAAGUCUCUCGUCAAACUAAUCGGCUGCUCUUGCAGCACAUGAGAAGGAUCGGCAAUAUACUUGCGAAGCAUGGAUACAUGAAACACAUUAUGUAUCCUAGCUAACUCUGGAGGCAAGGCUAAUCGAUAAGCAAGUGAGCCAACUCGCUCUAUUAUCUCAUACGGGCCAAUAUACCUCGGGCUAAGCUUCCCACGCUUCCCGAAGCGCACAACCCCUUUCCAAGGAGAUAAUUUCAGGAACACCCAAUCACCCACUUGAAAUUCA